rnacentral:rRNA from 1 species
CCCUUAGAUGUUCUGGGCCGCACGCGCGCUACACUGACGAAUGCAACGAGCUUAUAACCUUGGCCGAAAGGUCUGGGUAAUCUCCAAAUUUCGUCGUGAUGGGGAUAGAUUAUUGCAAUUAUUAAUCUUCAACGAGGAAUGUCUAGUAAGCGCAAGUCAUCAGCUUGCGUUGAUUACGUCCCUGCCCUUUGUACACACCGCCCGUCGCUCCUACCGAUUGAAUGGUCCGGUGAAGCGCUCGGACCGCGGCCUCUUGACGGUUUUCCGUCGAUUGGCUGUGGGAAGUUCGUUAAACCUUAUCAUUUAGAGGAAGGAGAAGUCGUAACA